rnacentral:rRNA from 1 species
UACGAAGGGUGCAAGCGUUACUCGGAAUUACUGGGCGUAAAGCGUGCGUAGGUGGUUCGUUAAGUCUGUCGUGAAAGCCCCGGGCUCAACCUGGGAAUGGCGAUGGAUACUGGCGGGCUAGAGUGCGGUAGAGGAGAGUGGAAUUCCCGGUGUAGCAGUGAAAUGCGUAGAGAUCCGGAGGAACACCAGUGGCGAAGGCGACACGCUGGGCCGUACCUGACGCUAAAACGCGACAGCAUGGGGAGCGAACGGG